AGUGAACGCUGGCGGUAGGCCUAACACAUGCAAGUCGAACGGCAGCACAGUAAGAGCUUGCUCUUACGGGUGGCGAGUGGCGGACGGGUGAGGAAUACAUCGGAAUCUACUUUUUCGUGGGGGAUAACGUAGGGAAACUUACGCUAAUACCGCAUACGACCUACGGGUGAAAGCAGGGGAUCUUCGGACCUUGCGCGAUUGAAUGAGCCGAUGUCGGAUUAGCUAGUUGGCGGGGUAAAGGCCCACCAAGGCGACGAUCCGUAGCUGGUCUGAGAGGAUGAUCAGCCACACUGGAACUGAGACACGGUCCAGACUCCUACGGGAGGCAGCAGUGUGGAAUAUUGGACAAUGGGCGCAAGCCUGAUCCAGCCAUACCGCGUGUGUUAAGAAGGCCUUCGGGUUGUAAAGCCCUUUUGUUGGGAAAGAAAAGCAGCAGGUUAAUACCCCGCUGUUCUGACGGUACCCAAAGAAUAAGCACCGGCUAACUUCGUG
rnacentral:rRNA from 1 species